rnacentral:rRNA from 1 species
UACGUAGGGUGCAAGCGUUAAUCGGAAUUACUGGGCGUAAAGCGUGCGCAGGCGGUUUUGUAAGUCUGUCGUGAAAUCCCCGGGCUCAACCUGGGAAUUGCGAUGGAGACUGCAAGGCUAGAAUCUGGCAGAGGGGGGUAGAAUUCCACGUGUAGCAGUGAAAUGCGUAGAGAUGUGGAGGAACACCGAUGGCGAAGGCAGCC